CUAAGUUUGUUCUUGGUAUAAGCUUUCGUGUGCAUGCACACUUCUUCAGAUAUAUGCACACGAAAGCUUAUACCAAGAACAAACUUAG